rnacentral:rRNA from 1 species
UGGCUCAGAAUGAACGUUGGCGGCGUGGAUUAGGCAUGCAAGUCGAGGGAGAACCCGCAAGGGGGACACCGGCGAACGGGGUAGGAUCACGUAGGUGACGUACCCCCAGGGCGAGGAUAGCCACGGGAAACUGUGGGUAAUACUCGAUAAUCUUCUCAGUCGUGAUGGUUGAGAAGCAAUGGGUGUGAUUCCACCUGGGGAGCGGCUUACGCAGUAUCAGCUAGUUGGUGAGGUAACGGCUCACCAAGGCUUUGACGCUUAGGGGGUGUGAGAGCAUGGCCCCCACCACUGGCACUGAGACACUGGCCAGACACCUACGGGUGGCUGCAGUCGAGAAUCUUCGGCAAUGGACGAAAGUCUGACCGAGCGACGCCGCGUGCGGGAUGAAGGUCUUCGGAUUGUAAACCGCUGUCAGAGGGGAUGAAGUAUACGAGAGCUAUCUCUUGUAUUUGACAGAGCCUCAGAGGAAGCACGGGCUAAGUUCGUGCCAGCAGCCGCGGUAAUACGAACUGUGCGAACGUUAUUCGGAAUCACUGGGCUUAAAGGGUGCGUAGGUGGUUUUCUAAGUCACGUGUGAAAUCUUCUGGCUCAACCAGAAAACUGCGCGUGAUACUGGAGGACUUGAGUGAGGUAGGGGUGCGUGGAACUUCCGGUGGAGCGGUGAAAUGUGUAGAGAUCGGAAGGAACGCC